rfam:Geobacteraceae bacterium GWC2_55_20 gwc2_scaffold_9610, whole genome shotgun sequence.
GCGGGAAUAACUCAGUGGUAGAGUGUCAGCUUCCCAAGCUGAAGGUCGCGGGUUCGAAUCCCGUUUCCCGCU